AACCAACCCAAGAGAGCGCAGUGACCGCAGUGAGCAUGUGGGAGGCCCACCUGAAGGUUGAGAAGUUCAAGGGCCUGGCCUUGGCUCCCUGUGAGGGUUUCUGAGCUGGGUCAUAACAUGAUGGAGAAGGUCAGAGGAGAAGUGAACAGAUGUGGAGAGGACCAAGCAGAAGGAGAAUCUGCACCUUGUAACAACAGUUCCAGUGGGAGCCAGUCCAGUCUCUGAGAGUGAAGCCACACUCAAUACCUCACAAAGAAGGAUUCAGUCCCAGGACAUAAACACCUCCUGCCAGGAUGUAAACACCUCCCACCAGGCCCCACCUCCAAACACUAACACAUUGAGGAUCACGUUUCACAUGGAACUUGGUGGAGAUGGCAAACCACGUCCAAACCACAGUCAGCUUCCUCACCUCCUGCAGUGCAUCCUUGGCUGAGUUUACUCAGUAUACCCAGGAUGCUCAUGUCCACUCACCAGAUCUUCCAUCUCAUGCACCCUCACCUUCCAGAUGCAGCUGCAGUAGUCCUCACCUCCACCCACCAGAUCUGCUUCCAUCCCAUGCACCCUCGCCUUCCAGAUGCAGCUGCUGUGAUCACGUCCACCCGCUAGAUCCUCUUCCAUCCCAUGCACCCUCACCUUUCAGAUGCAGCUGGAAGCAUGUGAAGCAUAAUAAAUAAACUCAACUUAACCUCGUCUCUUAUUACAUCAAACCCC
rnacentral:lncRNA from 1 species